CCAGCUGCACAUCUCUCCUUGUCUCUCCAUCUGAGGGGCUAUUUCAGAGUCCUCUGUUUCAAGUUCAACCCAACCAGUGAGAAUGUUACUGCUGCAGGUUCUUAUUGUGACUUCAACAUGGUCUUAUGGAUAUUCGCAAAUAACUCUGAUACAAACUCCAUUGUCGGCCACCAGAGCGGGAACUAGAAGUGCAUAUAUGUGGUGUAAUAUUUCUGGCAAAGAUGGAGAUGCUCAAGUACUGGUACAAUCUCAACUAUCCAUCACCAAAGCAGAAGAUAGAACUGCACGAAUUGACUGUCAUGUUUCUGGCAUAACCCUUAGUAGUGCUUAUACACACUGGCAUCAACGGAGACCUGAUAAAGCUCUGGAAUGGAUUCUCUAUUUUUUAUCAGAAAACCCCAUCUUGAACCAGGAUUCUGAGAAGGGAAAAUUUGAGGCAGAUAAGCAGCUCUCUGAGUCGACCUGUACCCUAAGAGUAAAGAAAACCAAGAAUGAUGCAGCUACCUAUUACUGUGCCACUUGGGAUCACACAGCAUCAGAAAACUAUUCACAUUCUGUACAAAAACCUACUUUGUAUUCUCAACAAUAG